CAUUGGUGAGAAUCCAAUGCCCCGAAAACCCAAGGUUUCCUCCGCAAGGUUCGUCCACAGAGGGUGAGUCAGGGCCUAAGAUCAGGCCGAAAGGCGUAGUCGAUGGAUAACAGGUCAAUAUUCCUGUACUACCCCUUGUUGGUACGGAGGGACGAAGGAUGCUAGGUUAGCCGAAAGAUGGUUAUAGAUUUAAGGACACAAAGUGACCCUGCUUUUUCAGGGUAAGAAGGGGAAUCCAAGAGCAUCAAGGGGUACAAAAGUGAUGCAAAAAGUUUAUUUGAUG
rnacentral:ncRNA from 1 species